CAGAGGGAAACACAAAUGGCAUUUGAUGGAAAAGAGUAUGUUUGGGUGACUUACCCAAAAUUUAAAAUGGGAGAGGAAGUUGUGUGAGAGGUGGCAUGCCCACCUACCUAUGGUUAUGUUGAUGGUUUGAAGAAACUACUUUUCAAUUUUCCAAAAGAAAAGAGGGAGGAAAUAAUUAAGAAGUAUGCAUCAAGAACACCUGAGCCCCUCAAUCAGCAGUUUUCAUAAAGAUUGAGCAAGGAGGAAGCUAUAAAGGCACAUAAGGCAAAAAAGGCAAUGAAGAAAACAGCAUUAUUCCCACUUGGUUAGUUAAUAGCUUUAUCAAUCCAUUCAUUUCAACUAUCCAAAUUUAACAUGAAAUGAAUAUAAUAUUACAAUGAAGUUUUAGUAA